GCUUACGGCCACACUACCUUGAGAACGCCCGAUCUCGUCUGAUCUCGGAAGCUAAGCAGGGUCGGGCCUGGUUAGUACUUGGAUGGGAGACCGCCUGGGAAUACCAGGUGCUGUAAGCC
ensembl:rRNA 5S_rRNA 5S ribosomal RNA